UACGUAGGGUGCAAGCGUUGUCCGGAAUUAUUGGGCGUAAAGGGCUCGUAGGCGGUCCGUCACGUCGGGAGUGAAAACUCAGGGCUCAACCCUGAGCGUGCUUCCGAUACGGGCGGACUAGAGGUAUGCAGGGGAGAACGGAAUUCCUGGUGUAGCGGUGGAAUGCGCAGAUAUCAGGAGGAACACCGGUGGCGAAGGCGGUUCUCUGGGCAUUACCUGACGCUGGAGGAGCGAAAGCAUGGGGAGCGAACAGG
rnacentral:rRNA from 1 species